CUAGAACCUGAAGUUUGUCUACUCCGAGAAUAAAACAAAAACUUUAACUGUUUUACAGUUUUGUUUUGUUUUUAAUUAUUUACUGUUAUUUAUUGAUUUGUUCCAUAUCCUAUUCCGCUGUUUUUUCCAGAUAAGACAGAGAUUCCCUGGGAAUAUACCCGCUAAAGAACAGCAGUGUCUCAUGCCUCUCCUUCAUCUCUCUGUGGAGAACACAGAGACAGAGAAAACUACAACCUUUCCCAUGAGAAGCUAAGGACAUGCCUUCACCACUAGCAGCUGCUGCCACUUUGUACCUUCCUGUCCCAGAAGAUGUGGUACCAGCUGUGCAGAUCCCUGUUUACACUGGGCUUCAUCCCCUCCAGUAUUCAUUCAGCUUUCUUGCAAUGACUUUGGUGCCUGUGUGAUGCUUUUACUUCUUGUUCAAUUCUGGACCUCAGUGGGCACGGCACCAAGACCUACUGCUUCUGGUCACAAACCUCCAGAUGGAUCUACCAAAAUGAUACCUCUCAGUACUGGUACAAGAUCAAUGAAGACCUCAAAACCAACCAACCAACCAAACAAGCAAACAAAAAACCUUCAAGUUUGUCACCAGUUCAAUGUGGAGGAAGAAGGUCAGAGAGGAGGCAUUUCAGACUGAUGUUUGGUUCAGGUUUAGUAAAUUCCUUGAGCAUUUUUAUUUGAAAUUUGUAUUAUAAUGCUUCUGGUGGGGAAAAAAUGAAUAACAGAACCACAGAACCUGAAUACUGCAACAUAAUGGCACACACAUUGCAGCCAGAUAGAUCCUGAUCCAAGUCUGACUGAUUAUAACUGCAGUAGAGAACUCUGGCCAAGGUAGUUUGCUAAAAUUCACAACAGGACAGUGGGCAAGGUGAUGGAGCUGUUAGCAGCAAGAGAUGAUAAAUCUCUUUCUGAAAUGGGAACUGACUGACAACUAUGUCUAUCUCCAGUGUAUUACAGGUUAUUUCAUCUGCUUCUCCCUGCAGACAAGCCCGCACAAAGAUCAAGCCAA
rnacentral:lncRNA from 1 species